rnacentral:misc_RNA from 1 species
UUUACACUAGAAAAAAGCAAGGUUCAUAUGCAUGGAAAUCCAAACACUGUAAAACACGAGGGAAGUCUUGGUGCAUGCAACAGGCAUUCCCUUCCCAAUGAAAAAAAAAAAUUAUACUAAAAGUAUUUUCGAGCCAUCUUAAACACCGAGCUUAAGUCUUCUCUCCGGACAAUUUUAAAAGCUACUUUCUCACAUCAACUUGAUAUAUUUAAGAUGAAUAAUUCUAAAGUGCUGUCUAAUAAAGAAGAACCUGGUAAACAAGAACGGAAGUUCUCAUCCUUAACAACUGGACUAAUCCUAUACAAUACCGAUGCAAAAAUUAUAAAAAUGAUCAGAAGCUAUCACAGCACUUACCGCAAGCUUUCGCCGCAACCUUGAGUGCCUCAGUCCGGCAUUUCUCGCACUUCAUCUGAACUUUCAGGAUUAUUUUUUUCUUCAUGCUGUUUCCUAUAACUGUUGCAAGGAGAGGAAUGGUUGAG